UACGUAGGGACCGAGCGUUGUCCGGAUUCAUUGGGCGUAAAGAGCUCGUAGGCGGCCACUCAAGUCGAAUGUGAAACCUCGAGGCUCAACCUCGAGCCUGCAUUCGAUACUGGGCGGCUAGAGUCUGGUAGGGGGAUCUGGAAUUCCUGGUGUAGCGGUGGAAUGCGCAGAUAUCGAGAGGAACACCUGCGGCGAAGGCGGGUUGCUGGGCCGACACUGACGCUGAGGCGCGAAAGCCAGGGGAGCGAACGGG
rnacentral:rRNA from 1 species